ensembl:lncRNA
AGGGGUAUUUUUCUAGAGUUUUUGCAAAGGGCUCUUUUUUGUAGAGUUGUAUCAGUAGUGUCUGUUUGCUUUGGCUCUUUGUAAAACACUGCACCACUUAUGGGAUUACUUCUCCACUGAAAUGAAUCCACAUGAUGAUGGAACUGUUAUUUCUUUUGGGUCUUUUAUUUUGUUGUAUAAUAAUAUAAUAAGUUAUGCAUGAAAACUUAUAGUGAGACUAGGGUUUUUUUUUAUGUCUUUUCCCUUGAGCUAUUUCCAAUCUCUUCUCGCUCCCCUUUAUCACUGUCUUUCUUAAAAAUCCAAUUAGGUGACUCUAGAAACUUGCAGACUCACAAUGGACCGUUGUCUGCUUUGCCUCAAACUCAUGCCAAUUUGUCCCAUGUUGCCAUCAAUGGUGAUAGCUUGUUCAGUGGUGUCGAAGCAGUUGCAAGAAUGGGCGGCUUUUUCCUGUCAUCUUCCAAUGUGAGGAGUCCAGCAAGAAGACCUACUAUGGAGAAUAAUAUGGUGAAAAACAGAACUGCAGCAUUAGGUUACAAGAAACCCCCUGUUCUUCAUCAGGUUCUAAGGUGAUGGGUGGUGAUGAGCAGGUUGCUGUAGACUUGGCUCAGUUCCAAAGAGCUGCUGAGUUCCUGCAGUCACAGCGAGGCCUCAGUGCUCUCUCCCUGGAGGAACAGAAACUCCUGCAAUCACUUGAUAGACUCAACCACCGCCUGCAGUAUGUGCAAGAUGUGACGGCAGGAAACACAGCACUGAGGGGCAUUGUUGCCUUGGACUCCGCAUAUAACCAGUCUCCCCAGCCUGGCAAGCGUUCAUGUGCCACUCUGCGCAAGUACCAUGACAGCUCAGCUCACAGCCACACCCGCCCACACACACGCUACUGACUUCAGCUCCCAGAGUGCCCUUCUAUCCCAGCCUGUCCCUUUAAUCCUUAAUGACAAGCACUUUAUCACUCUUACCCUGUUGAUGUUGCC